CUUUAUUGAAACUUACAUCAUAUUUGUCUUUAUUUUUUUCAAAGAGAUGCUCAUUCUCUUUCACAAAUACUGCGAGACUGUAGAUAUACAUUGAUGUUAGAGGUAGAAUUCCAAGUGAUUUAAAAAAGGGCUUACAACUCUCAUUUGGUUUUUUGAAAAGCAUGCAUCGUAUGAUUCUUUUUUGCAACACAAAGGCUUCUUUUGAACUGGUAGAAGAGCCCCAAAAUAUUAAUCCAUACGAGAGAGUAGAGUGUACAUACGCAAAAUAAAACAUUUUUAAAGUAUCUAUACUUACACUAGUGCGCAAGUUACGAAUAAUGUAUGAAUAUUUGGCUAGUUUGCGACAUACAUAAUUACUAUGUGCGUUAAAUUUUAAAGCUUUAUCGAUGUAUAAGCCUAAAAACUUUACUUCAUCGGCCAACGGAACAGAUUUUGUACCAAGCUUAAUAUAGAUACUGGAUGACAUUGGGCCAUUUCUAUAUUGUACCACAAGAGUUUUGUUCAUAUUUAAUUCUAAAAACUGAGCCUCACAGUAUUUAUACAUUUUAGAAAUUGCGUCCGAAGCUUCCGCAGAAGUAGUGUGUAGGUCUUUACCUAUUGCUAUACAAGAUGUAUCAUCAGCAAAUUGACAGGCAGCGGCCCCAAUAUGGAUCCUUGAGGAACACCUUUUGAAAUGGUUAUUGGCUCGGACAACACAUUCAA